GUCAGCACCCCCGGCUGAAGCACGGGGGCUUCGUGCCCCUCCUUCAGGUAGCUGACCAGCUAUCGCCUUAACUGGCUACGUUCAGAGCAAGAGUUAAAGUUCCUACCCUGAAAUGCGUGCUAGUUCCAGGCUCUAGA
rnacentral:sRNA from 23 species